UACGUAGGGGGCUAGCGUUGUCCGGAAUCAUUGGGCGUAAAGCGCGUGUAGGCGGUCCGGUAAGUCCGCUGUGAAAGUCGGGGGCUCAACCCUCGAAUGCCGGUGGAUACUGUCGGGCUAGAGUACGGAAGAGGCGAGUAGAAUUCCGUGGUGUAGCGGUGGAAUGCGCAGAUAUCAGGAGGAAUACCCAUAGCGAAGGCAGCUCGCUGGGACGUUACUGGACGCUGAGGCGCGAAAGCGUGGGGAGCGAACAGG
rnacentral:rRNA from 1 species